rnacentral:rRNA from 1 species
AGCGAACGCUGGCGGCAGGCUUAACACAUGCAAGUCGAGCGGGCACUUUCGGGUGUCAGCGGCGGACGGGUGAGUAACGCGUGGGAACGUGCCCUCUGGUUCGGAAUAACUCAGGGAAACUUGAGCUAAUACCGGAUACGCCCUUUUGGGGAAAGGCUUGCUGCCGGAGGAUCGGCCCGCGUCUGAUUAGCUAGUUGGUGAGGUAACGGCUCACCAAGGCGACGAUCAGUAGCUGGUCUGAGAGGAUGAUCAGCCACACUGUGACUGAGACACGGCCCAGACUCCUACGGGAGGCAGGAGUGGGGAAUAUUGGACAAUGGGCGCAAGCCUGAUCCAGCCAUGCCGCGUGAGUGAUCAAGGCCUUAGGGUUGUAAAGCUCUUUUAUCCGGGACGAUAAUGACGGUACCGGAGGAAUAAGCCCCGGCUAACUUCGUG